CUGCAUCUGCGUCUGCAUCUGCGUCUGUUUCUGUUUUAAUGCAGCACAUGUGCAAAGCAGCUGUGGCUGUGAAUUGUACAGUCUCCGGUACGCACGGCAGUUACGUCACCGAGACACUUUGGACAAAGACGUGCUAUACCUUGUUGGAAAGGCCAGAGUCCCUAGUUUACAAUGAUACCAACCAUGGGAGGAUGGGGUGGAGCAUGUCCGGGCAGUGAAUCAAUUUUUGAUAGACAUUUAAAUGGCAUCUCCUGUGUUUAAAGUGCUGUAAAACCAAAAAGUAUGUAUGGAAAAAAUGUGUGACUUGUUUUAGAAACUUUAAUUGUCAUAGUUUGUGUCAUGUCAAAAAGAAGAAAAGUAGGAGAAAAGAGGAGUGAACUUGUGUUGGGGGUGGAGCUUCCUGUGGUUAGAACACCUGUGCACACCUGUGUGGCAGUUUGAAGACAAAGGAAGGGACAGGCUCUCAACCAAGCAGGUUUUAGUUCAUGGUCAAAUCACCAGAGACACAACUGGUAAGAAGGAAAUUAAGUUGCAGUUAUGAAUAUGUUGUUUAUUAAAAUAUAGGAGUUGACCUAGAGAUUUUGAAGAUAUUGUAUUAUGGCUUGUGGCCUGGUAAUGUCCAGGUUAUAUUGUGCUUAUGGUUGAGCCACAGUGAAAAUGUUUGUUUGAAACUAAUUCAAUUUCUGUUUUUUAGGUUUUCAACCUAAUCCUAAAUCCUAACUGUAAAUCCCCAGUGUCAACAAAUACAACACAAAGGAAAAGGAUUUGAGUUGUGCCUAGCGUCCUUCUUGGUGAUGACCAGCCAUUUUCAAGUUUAGGCAGGAGCUGAAACAUCAGACCAGACAUAACUUGAUAGUUUGAGUUCGGUCUUAGUCUUAGUUUUGGGUUCUGUCUUGGUUUUAGAUUCUGUCAUAGGUUUCGGUUCUGUUUUAGUUUGGCUUUGUCUUGAUUUGUUCUGAAACUGUUUUAGUUAACCUGUUUUCACCAGCCAGUUAUUCAGUCAGCUCAGUUCACAUCACAGUCCCCAUCCUAUCUGUUUGCCUGUCACUCCCCUUUACCAGUCAUCAUCCUAUCAGUUUCGGUUUACUUUCAGUCACCACCCUUCCUCUGAUUAGUUCCACCUAUUCCUAGUAAUUAGUUUCCUACUCUGUUCACCUGUUCACUGCUCUACUUAUACCUGCCUCCCUCCUCCUUUCUCUUCCGGAUCAAUACAAGCCAAUCGGUGAGUCCUUUCCAGCAUUCUGUUUCUGAUCUGACCUGUAGAUAGUGAACCGAUUAGCCUUUUGAUAUCCGAGCCAGCCUGUUCCUGUUUCCUGAUUUUCCUGCCUGAUUCUGACUGCCUUCCUGUGUUGCCUGACCUGAAUCUGUACCUGAACAUUCUGAGCUUGUCUGAUCCCUGUCUGUAUCAGUGUAUCAGUGUAUAUAAAUAAAUUUUACUUACUUACUUACUUACUUAUCGAACCGGACCUUAUUAUCUGACCACUGAGCCUGUAUGCCCCGUUCAGCCCGUCCUGUUUCAGUCUGUUUAUUUUUUGAUAUUGUUUGACCACCACCUGUUCCUUAUUAAACCUGCUUUAAUUUAAUUUAUUACUUGUCUGGUUGAAUACUGGGUCCUUCUGUCCCGCUUCGUGACAUUAAUGCCUCUUUUUUCAGAAGAACAUUUUUUAGAAAUUAAAAAGUGACAGUUUUUGACCUAACUUUAAAGCUAUACAAAAAAGGGGCGUAGCCCUGCCCCUAGCGGCGCAUACCUGUACCGGUAUGGGCGGGCUUAAGGGGUUAACUGUUGAAACACAGACUUUUCAAUAACUUUACUGAUAAAUGGCAGGUUGAAGCAUAUGUGAUUUGUCCAGAUUGCUCUCAAUAAAUCCAUGUGCAUACAUAAGCAUUAACUACAUUUUCAUAGCACUGUAUGCCUUUUAUUUCAUGCUCAUUAUGUAUUUAUAAAGUGCCAAGCAUAACUAUUUUAACAUUUUAGAUGCCUAUUUCCCUAUGAAAAAUGUAUUUCAACACAUUUUAACUCACCAUACUUAUAUAGUUGCAGAUGCACCAGGUGUAAUUCCAAGAAACAUAAAUUAUAUUCAAAUUCAAAAAUACUAUAAAUCCCAAAGGGAAAUUAAAUGCUAUUGUAGCUCAUGUUAUGGGUUUUCUUCACUUAGUUGUUGUUGAAAUUGAUGACAAGCAGGCAAGAAGGAUCUCUUGUAGCGGUUUGUCUUACAGAAGCCUAUGACUGAAGACCCUUUGUUGUUGUAUGACAAUUUGAUGAAGAUGAUCCAGCAGAACUAAAAAACAGACUGUAUGAACAGCCAUCUGCUUUGAUAGAGUGGGGCUUAAUCGGAUUGAAAACAGACACAGAGAAAUCAGAAGCACCUCAAGAAAAUGGGAACAUAAGCUUCACAACCAAGAGAACCUUUUAGGUUUUUCUAAUCAAAUCUCUUUACAGUUUAAGCAGGUGUAAACUCAAACAACAGACUUCCCUUGGUUCAAAGGAAAACAUUUCAUCAAAUUGCAGCACCCCUUUGUGCAACCACAUGUAUAAAAAAUAACAAUUAUUUUUCCCCCCCUCAUGAGCCAUUUAUUGUUUGAGCUCUUUAUUAAAAAAGACUCAUGCUGAUGAUGUACUGUAAUCCUUUAAAUAAGACAGUCAUGGGCAAACAUUUCAGGAAGUAAACAAAUGCGUUAGAUGUAAAUUCAUUUACAAGUACAUAUCAGAAAUUACAAUAUCAUAAAAAGUGAAAUAUUUUUAAUCACUCUUUUCAGAAAGUGAAACUUUCAAUUUAAGCUGGACUCACAGUGCUUCAUACUCCAUGUAACAAAAAAGUGCAGCAAAGAAGCUAUUUCUCUUCAAGAAAAACAUUUUGUGGAAGGUUGACAGGAAUGAAGAGACUGACCCAAAGUUGAUUUCUCUAAUUAACAGUGGCGGUUCUAGACCAAAUUUACCAGGAGUGCCAGGUUGGGGCCAAUGUUAUUUUUUUUCAUGGGGGCACUGAAAAAAAGAAAGAUUUAAACCAGGAAAAACUGGGCAAAAUGGAAUUGUUUGAUAUAUUAAGUGUAUCUCUGGAGCUGCAGGUUACAGACCCCUGAAAACUGUGAUCCUGUCUCAAUAAGACUGAAGCUAAAAGUGAAACACAAUAAUUUAAAAAAUAUUAUUAAUAUAAAAAUGUAAAGGUAAAAGAUGAAAUGAUUCCAAGGGACCUACCAGAUACAAUUUAUGUUCCAGGACUGAAAAUCAUAAGAAACUGAUUCAGUAUUAUGUCUUCAGUAAAGGGACCAUAAUAGGGGCCCUGACCAUUUCUCCAGGUGUGCUGGCCCUUGUCUAGAAUGGUCCAUGCUCAUGAACCCUCUUGUGUAAUGCAAGCAGUGAACAUCCGAACAUUGGAAAUAUGGGCAGGAUGCUCCCCACAUCGUAACCCUAUUUAGAUCCUUUGGUUGAAAAGAAAAUGUGACUCCAAACACUAAUAGAACAAGAAUUACAAGUAGUUGAUAUCCAUUGUCCAGAUGUAGACAGUGGGAUGAUACAGCAAAGUGAAGACGGGACUACUGCUGUGUAUCAAUAGUACACUAAGCCUAACUCAAUGCUUUAUUUAUGCAUAUUACAAGCACAAGUGCUACUCCCAGUGUUUUUAGUGUAGGCAUGAUUGGAAACAGAAAUAAAGGCUGGCAAAACAAAGCUGAACAACAGGUCAGUAAAGAUAGCCCUUAUAAUUACAGCGUAAGAUUCUGUAGGAUGUUCUUUCAAGAGCGUAAAGUAAGUAAACUUUAUUUACCUUUCACAGGAUAAAAAACACAAAGUCCUUCACAAUAAAAAGACUAUAUAAAUGACACAAAAAAACCUAUAAAAUGACACAAAAACAUUAAACCGCAUAAAUGCAGACUUCUGGUUGGGCGGCAGAGGGAGAUGGCUGAUUAAACCUGGGCUCCUCAAGGUAGAGCCACUUUCCCCCCCUAAAUCUAACAACCACUCAAAUUGGACAGUAUGAUCUGGGGAACCAAAAAAAGGGUAAGAAGAUGCAUGAACCAAAACAACAUGCAAAUUCAAUGCAAGACAAAGAAUAUGCUAGCUUGGAGAAGGAACAUGGAUCUGGACAUGCGGAAGCCCAGGUUAGGACCUUACAUGAUGAAAUGAGGUUAAUUAGACAACAAGUCAAUAACUUAAAGACUGAGCUGAAGUCCAACCUAGACUCACUCAAGGACAAUUUUAGUGAAACCAUCAAAGAACAAAGGAAUGCUCUCAAACAGGACAUUAACCAGCAGCUAGGGGAGGCUAAGCUAACCACACAAGACCAGGGAAAGAAGUUGGAGGAAGCCAAGAAAUGAGUUGAGGAACUUGAAACAUGGUCUGCAGCGGCAAACAAGGCACUUCGUCAGUCCUUGUUAGAUCAGAAAAAUAUCUCGAUCACGAUCUCGAGUCAAGAGCGAGAAGGAAAAACAUGCACAUCUAUGGAAUUGCAGAGGGAGGGGGGAGUGAAUCCAUAACUCUGUUUGUUGAAAUUGAUUUGAAAGAAGAGCUGAUUGAGAAGGGAACUGACACAUACAAUGAGCACACCACUCUCUCAGACCUAGACCCCCUGCGGGUGCUCCUCCUCACUCAAUGGUAGCAAACUGUCUCCAAUUUAAAAUCAAAAAGAAAGUUUGAAAGAUCUACAUCCCCCACUUCCUAAAAACAGCAAUUAUCAAACCACUGUUGAAAAAGAACAAUUUGGACAAACUAGUUCUGCAGAACUACAGAACCCUUCUAAAACCUCCUCUUUAUCAGUCGUCUAAGCCCAUACUUUCUAGUCCAUUGUGCCCCCUCUACCUGCCCUGGACAUUGAUGGAUAUAAGAUAAGAAGAUUUUUUUGUCCAUUGGUUUAAAACAGUGCAAAUUUGCCUUUGACAUCUUGACACUGAACCAGCAAUAAAUAAUCACAAUACAAAGAAUAGAUAUAAUAUCAUACAGCAGCAGCAGAGUUCACUUACUUAGAUACUCUGGUUCAUAGUAUUCACUGCAGAUGGCGCAAACAAUUUCAUAUACCCUGCUUUUUUCGCUAAGGGAACUCUGAGUCUCCUGCCUGAUGGCAUCAGAACAAAUACAGGGUUGAGAAGGUGGGUGGUGUCAUUGUAAAGCUUUUUAGUUAUGGAAAGGUUGUAUAUUUCCUUAAGCUGCAUUUACCUGAUACUCAUUAGCUUACUGGCCAGGUUAACUACCUGAGUCAACAUGUUCUUGUAUCUAACUGGCAGGUUCCCAUACCAAGAAAUAAUAUUGAAAGUGAGAACACUCUCAGUUAGUGACCGGUAGACCAUGGCCAGAGUUUGUUUACUGGCAUUAAAGCUCUUCAAUUGCCUGAGGAGAUGGAGUCGCUGUCUUGCUUUUUUUAUACCCCGUGGAACGCUGGUGUUCAAGACAUUUGGAAAGGAUUUUAUUAACACACACGUUGGGGUCUCUUUCUCAAAAACUCCCUAAUCCACAAAAUGAGGUUGCUGCUGACUUUCAGGUCAGGUCUUCUCAGAAGAAGAUGGGGCUGGGUGGUAUUGAAGGCGGAAGAGAAGUCCAUAAAAAGUACGCAAACAUAAGUUUUAGCUGGUUUAUGUAAGUGACAGCCUAUUUUAUCCAAAAGAGUAAGAGUGGCAUCUUUCACACCUCGACUGGCUCUAUAUGUAAAUUGCAUGGGGUCCAUGAGGUUGGCUGUUUACGUUGCAAGUUUCCUGCUCACUAGACGCUCCAUGCAUUUGCCUACUGUGAGGGCAAUUGAUCUAAAAUCAUUUAGUGACUUUGCAUGAGCUGUUUUAGUCACUGGGAUAAUGUUUGCCAUUUUUGGUUGAUUGCUAUGCCAGCUUUUAAAUUGUUAAAGCAUGUGCUGAGGAAUACUGUGCGAUGAAGAUAUGGCAUAGUUUGUUAAUUUUUAGACUGAGAUUUUCUCCUCCCACUCCUCACUGUGUUGUUUGCCUUUGUGAUUUUUUUUCUUUAUUAAAAACUUAAAAAUAUAGUAGAAUUGGCAUAAAUGCGGCAUCUUAGCAUAAAACAGUUAAAAACCAGUUAAAAGCUAAUGGGAACACAUUUUCAAAUGCUUCUUAAAAGAAUUAAUCGAGUAAAGACAGCACAAAGAUGAAGGCAAUGCAUUCCACAGCCUGGGGGCCACAGUUCUAAAAGACUGAUCUCCACUGGUUCAGAAAUUAGUUUGUGGAACUAUUAACAGCCUUUGGCUGGAGAAUCUCAAACUACAAGAACGGGAAUACGAUUGUAAAAGGUUAGUAAUUUAAGCUCAAGCUUGAUCAAUGAAGUCUCUAAAAGUAAAGACUGUCAGGACUCAGCUGGCAGCACUGAGCAGAUCUCUACCGGUCCUGCCUUUUCUGCUCUCUCCCUUCUCUGCAUGUGACUACAGUUUGGCGGGGGGUGCGGCGCACACCUGCGGCUCGUUCGGCGGCGUGGCUUGUGAGCAUUUAAGCGGCGGACUGACAGCUGGAGGAGACCAGAGUGUUAACCGUGUUUGGCUCCCGUUCCCGAGUGAUCCCUCGGGCCGCUGAAGUCUCUCGACUGACGUCUCUCAAGCUCUGGGUUCGGUUCCCCUACUGAAGCCCGCCCCUGACCUGGCGAAGCCUCCUGUUAAACCUCCCCAGAGAACUUCUCGGAUCCCUCUCCGAGACUUCCUUGGUUCUGCGUCAUGGCUUACCUGCACAUUCUCCCCUGUACAACCUGUGUAUAAUAAACGCCUUAAACCGUU